rnacentral:rRNA from 1 species
ACGCUGGCGGCAGGCUUAACACAUGCAAGUCGAACGGUAACAGGGAUUAGCUUGCUAAUUUGCUGACGAGUGGCGGACGGGUGAGUAAUGCUUGGGAAUCCGGCUUAUGGAGGGGGAUAACUACGGGAAACUGUAGCUAAUACCGCGUAAUAUCGGAAGAUUAAAGGGUGGGACUUUCGAGCCACCUGCCAUAAGAUGAGCCCAAGUGGGAUUAGGUAGUUGGUUAGGUAAAGGCUGACCAAGCCGACGAUCUCUAGCUGGUCUGAGAGGAUGACCAGCCACACUGGAACUGAGACACGGUCCAGACUCCUACGGGAGGCAGCAGCGGGGAAUAUUGCACAAUGGGGGGAACCCUGAUGCAGCCAUGCCGUGUGAACGAAGAAGGCCUUCGGGUUGUAAAGUUCUUUCGGUGACGAGGAAGGUUGAUAGGUUAAUAGCCUAUCAAAUUGACGUUAAUCACAGAAGAAGCACCGGCUAACUCCGUGCCAGCAGCCGCGGUAAUACGGGGGGUGCGAGCGUUAAUCGGAAUAACUGGGCGUAAAGGGCACGCAGGCGGUGACUUAAGUGAGAUGUGAAAGCCCCGAGCUUAACUUGGGAAUUGCAUUUCAUACUGGGUCGCUAGAGUACUUUAGGGAGGGGUAGAAUUCCACGUGUAGCGGUGAAAUGCGUAGAGAUGUGGAGGAAUACCGAAGGCGAAGGCAGCCCCUUGGGAAUGUACUGACGCUCAUGUGCGAAAGCGUGGGGAGCAAACAGGAUUAGAUACCCUGGUAGUCCACGCUGUAAACGAUGUCGAUUUGGGGAUUGGGCUUUGAGCUUGGUGCCCGUAGCUAACGUGAUAAAUCGACCGCCUGGGGAGUACGGCCGCAAGGUUAAAACUCAAAUGAAUUGACGGGGGCCCGCACAAGCGGUGGAGC